rnacentral:lncRNA from 1 species
AGGCAGCAAUGCUUCUGAAAAGCAGUUGGUGGAAACCACAGGAGGCGAGAGUGCUCUUGUGUUUGAGUCCUGCUUGCGCGUUUCCCCACAGGCAUCUGACUGGACACUGUGAGUACAGGAUUCUGGGCUAGGUAGGCCACUGGCCUGAUCCAGAAGUCUGUUCUUAUGCACUCUGCAUGUGUGAGGCUAAGAAAAGGAAAAGCAAUGUUACUGUCUUUUACAUCCAGAUACUAGAGGAUUUGUUCUCAUUUUUCUCCUUUCUACACUGAGCUUUUAACACGCUGAGCACCUCCAGAGGCAGAUGUUGCCUUUAACUAUCAUUAACUACCCUGAGUUGUCCAGGUUGGUUAGAAAAAUCUGGCUGUAUGUAGAAAUCAAUGCAUGCAAUCUCUACAUAUGUAUGCUUUGGGAGCUUGGUGGAAGGCAGUAAUUGAGUAGCCUGAGCCAUACAAUUUAACAGUGCCAAGAGAUCUGGUGCUAGUAGCAUUGCUUCCUUUUCAGUCAGAAGCACUGAACCUCAUCCUUGACACAAUAUCAAAUUUACUCUAGCUUAGGCAGCUGGAGGUAGUUGCAAAGUAUAGCUGGAUCUUUUAAUGGCUUCACAUGCUGAUUUAGGACACUGCCCAGGUUGGUGCUGUGGGCAGGGGGUACUUUUACACAACAUAACUUUCCCAGACUGUUCUACAGUGGGUGGGCUGAUGAUCAUGUAAUCACACAGCUGCCCUUGGUAUACUCCGAACACUUGGCAGGAGAACACUAAAGUCUUUCAUGAGCUUCAUAGAAUUGGAAUGGAUCCUGAGGAUCAUCUAGUCCAGUGUUUCCCAAACAUGGGUCGCCAGCUGUUUUGGGACUACAGUUCCCAUAAUCCCUGACCACUAGUCCUGCUAGCUAGGGAUGAUGGGAGAUAUAGUCCAAAACCACUGGCGACCCAAGUUUGGGAAAGACUGAUUUAGUCCAACACCCUGAAAUGCAGGAAUAUGCAGCUAUCCCUUAUGGGGAUCAAACCUGCAACCUCGGCAUUAUCAACACCAUGCUCUAGCCAACUGAGCUAUCCAGCUGAGUCACCAUUUGGCAAAGUUAAAGGUAAAGGGACCCCUGACCAUUAGGUCCAGUCGUGGCCGACUCUGGGGCUGCGGCGCUCAUCUCGCUUUAUUGGCUGAGGGAGCCGGCGUACAGGUCAUGUGGCCAGCAUGACUAAGCCGCUUCUGGUGAACCAGAGCAGUGCACUGUUUACCUUCCCACUGGAAUGGUACCUAUUUAUCUACUUGCACUUUGACGUGCUUUCGAACUGCUAGGUUGGCAGGAGCAGGGACCGAGCAACGGGAGCUCACCCCAUCACGGGGAUUUGAACCGCCGACCUUCUGAUCAGCAAGUCCUAGGCUCUGUGGUUUAACCCACAGCGCCACCCACGUUACCCUUUGGUAAAUGGCUGUCUGCUCAUGUCAUGGGAGCUGCUAACCAAGUAUCAGGACACGUGUCCACUGACUGAUUAAAAAGUAGGGUGUGAGGAUCCAGUCUAUGUCCACAUCAUUCCUGCUAAACCAGGAGGCCUGUCCUGUUUAAGCUCAGAUGAGUCAGGAAUGGAGAGUGAUAAGUAAGUUGCUGAGGUUGUCUUUUUUAUUCCUUUGCAGCCAAGUCCUGAUAUUCAAACCGGUUCAGUGCUCAAGCCCUGGUGAAACCUGACUCAUAUGAAGCCAGGAAUGUAUUAAAAUGCCAGUUUGUUGGCACUGGAUAUGGGUCAUCCUGCUACAAAAAUACAAAAUGAUUCCACAAACCUUUGACUCUUUAAACCAAUCUAGGCCUCGUUGGACCUCUGCAAAGUCACCCACACUUACCACCUGGCAACCCAGGGAUUGUCAUGCGGGAGAGCUUUGCAAAAUGGUGCACUGCAUCUUACGUAAGAAUUCACUUAGGAAAAACAAAAUGUACACAGUACAGGGCCC